rnacentral:rRNA from 1 species
UACGAAGGGGGCUAGCGUUGCUCGGAAUGACUGGGCGUAAAGGGCGCGUAGGCGGCUUAUACAGUCAGGCGUGAAAUUCCUGGGCUCAACCUGGGGACUGCGUCUGAUACGUAUGGGCUUGAGUGUGAAAGAGGGUCGUGGAAUUUCCAGUGUGGAGGUGAAAUUCGUAGAUAUUGGAAAGAACACCGGUGGCGAAGGCGGCGACCUGGUUCAUUACUGACGCUGAGGCGCGAAAGCGUGGGGAGCAAACAGGGAUUAGAUACCCUGGUAGUCCACGCUGUAAACGAUGUGUGCUGGAUGUUGGGGUGCUUAGCACUUCAGUGUCGUAGCUAACGCGGUAAGCACACCGCCUGGGGAGUACGGCCGCAAGGUUGAAACUCA